UCUGUUGCCAUUGCCUUCGUUGGUGAAGCAAAAGUGGUAGUCUUGGAUGAGCCCACUUCUGGAGUUGAUCCAUAUUCCAGGCGAUCUAUAUGGGAUCUUCUGCUAAAGUAUCGCUCAGGCAGAACCAUCAUCUUGUCAACCCAUCAUAUGGAUGAGGCAGACAUCCUUGGAGACAGAGUAGCCAUCAUAUCCCAAGGGAAACUCUUCUGUUCAGGCUCUCCAGUUUUCCUAAAGAACUGCUUUGGAUCUGGCUUCUAUCUCACCCUUGUACGCAAGAUGAGAAGCACCAGAAGUGGAAGGAAUGCAUCCUUCUGUAGCUGUGGAUCUCAGUGCUCCUGCUCCUGCUCCA